ACCACACGAGCGAAAUAGUUCGAGCGAGCGAGCCGGCCUGCAUCUCCCCCCUCCGCCCGAGCCAUCGUCUCCCCCGCCACACGCACACCCAAUCCCCUCCCCUCCAACCCUAGCCGCCCCGCUCCCCUCCCUCUCCACGGCGCCGCCGCCUCCUCCCCUUCUGCCAUGCUCUCCACCGUGCCGCCUCUUCCUCCUCUUCACUGCCCUCUCUAGCGGCGGCAAAGAUCUGCCGACAAAAGGGAGACGACGGCGACGCUCGAUCCGAUCUGCUGAAGAGAAAAGAUGAGAGGGAGAGAGACAAGGAAGGAGAGGAGGGAGAAAGAUAGAGGAAAGAGGAGAGCGAGGUGUGACGGCAGAUGAGAGAGGGUCACCGGAAGGAGCGUGACGACCUGCAGACAAAGGGCGGCGGCGGCGCCGCUCGAUUUGAUCUGCGGGAGAGAGAAUAUGAGAGGGAGAGAGAGAAGGAAGAACAUGAGAGGAGGGAGAAAGAGAGAGGAAAGAGGAGAGGGGGUUGACGGCCGACAGGAGAGGAUCACCGGAAGGAGUGCCGCCGGCUCGUCGUCUUUCACACCGCACUAUAGUAGAGCUAUCUCUGUACAACCCACACGCACGCAGGGGUGUUGCAAGGAGUUAGAGGUCGUGCGCCGGCCGAAGCAGCAAGAGCAAUGAUCUGGCGGCCUCUCUUCUCUGCCACAGUUCCCUUCUCUUCAUUCAGCUCUCGAGACGUCGACCUGCAGGUGUAGGUGCUUGUGUCUCAACCAUCUUUCUCCUGUAUCCUCAGUUCCUCACAUUUUUUAUUUCUGAUUCGUGUGUUACCAUAUUAUUGCUAGGCUAGAGUUUGUCCGUGUGUUGUUUAUGCUCAGGUUUAAUCUCCACAAAAGAUGGCCCACACUACUUUACAAGGAACUGCUGUUGUCCAGUUUAGAGGUAUGUUUUCUAGCUGAAGCAUUGUUUGAAUAUCUAUGGCCCAGGCUCCAAGUGAGAUUAAUUCUUUCAUUUUGUUUGUGCUAAUGUGAGUGAUUUAGUUGUCAUAGAAACAAAAUUCCAAUUGAUGUACUGACAAAUGUGUAUAGCAUACUAUUUUUAGGCAAACCAUUGUUUAACAACGGAUAUGCGGAGGCGUUUUUAUGGAUGUGCAUUUCCCCUGAAUCUAGACAGCUAUUCAACCUGUUGCGGACAUUUUUGGUGGAAUUCAAUGCUUCAGCAGAUGUGCCGGCGCCGCUGCCUGCGCCUUCUCCAGCGCCGCCUCGGUCACCAGCGCCAACUCCGGUCAGUGGUCUCCGGCACGCCCUCGCGGCUGGACGAGGCAGAGAUGUGCCGAGGAUCCCCACGCCCUUGGUUCUCAUGUUCUCUGCUCCCAGCCGCAGCAGAUCGUGCCAAAGGCAUUAUCGUGAGGAGGGAAGCGGCCGCAGAUUAAGGACAACGCGGGUUAAGAGCAUGGUCAUAGUCUAGGAGCACGCCCGGUGGUCGGUACGUAUGUUGUCUCCAUGCCAAAAAUAGCCACUUGAUUAUUUUAACAAAUCCCUCUUCUGCCUCUUAGUCAUGCUCAAAUCUGAGCUACCAUGUAUCUACUGAGCUUAAAAUUACCCACAACCCACAAUAGAAGGCAAGUAUGAUAUGACAGUGUAUGUCAUGGUAAUCUAGCUUUAUAAAAUCCAAAUUGAUCACAAUAUGCACAUAGAUGUUUACAUAUUUGCAUCCAUAGCGUCACUUAUAGGAUUGUAAUUAAUAGCAACCAUGGAGAGAGUUGGUUCGUUUUAUUAUCAGCACGUCUCUUCUUCUGCAUCCUGAAGAUCUGCUAAAAUAUGAAGUGAAUUUCCUGUUUUAUCUCACAUUUACCAAUUACACAUUGAAAUAUUGUGUUUGUCAAGAGAGUUUGAUUUGUACUUUGGAAGUUUUGGGAUUGGAGACAUCACCCUUCUUGUCCGCUGCCCAACUCCGUCGCAGCCCAGGCCUAGCAGGCGAUAGAGGCACGGCGAGGACUCACUGCAAAGAAGCCAUGGGAGGAGGACCCCGACUCGGAUGACGGCUGCUGGAAGAUCACGCACUUAUUCGGCCCACAGACCGGCUCCGCUUAUGGCUUAUCCAAGGUUGGAGCUUCACCGGCGCCAUGGUUGUGCUCAGAGGAGGACCGCCGAUGCCCGCCGCCGCUGUCGUCCACAUGCUCCUCCUCACGACCACGGGUGGACGUUGGCUGAGGUCUAGCCUCCCAUCCAUGCGCAGAUUAUGCAAGAAUCUGCUUGGUCUGCAUAUUAGUACCGACUAGCGAGCACAGGAACGACGACUUGGACCUGACGACUUGGACGUUGGCUGAGGUCUAGCCUCCCAUAUGCAUAUUUGACCAGUACUACAUGCGGCCCGCGAGCAAAGGUCGUCCGGCCAAUUCUAACCCCACCAGUCAUGGAUUCUUAUACCAGCCCAGUAGGGUUGUUCUCCAUCAUCCUCGUGCCCUACUGUCGAUGGGGAGGAGAGGAGCAGCGAGGCUGGAGCUCCAGACAACGCACACGUCGCUGGGUGGAGGAGAGGCCAGCUACGGGGCGCUCCUGUCACGAUGUGGUGAGAUGCAAGGGAGGGGUAGGAUGCCGGUGACAGUAGAAGGAGCAGGCCGGUGUAGAGGGCAAGCAGCACAGGAAGAUUAAGAAGGAUAUGAAGCUUUGUAUAGUUUCAUGGAUGGGGUUUGGGUGUCCUCAUGAGAGCAGUUCAGUGCUUGCACCUCUGCAACCUCGCCAACGUGGACAAUCACUGGUCAUGAGUACAGGAUCAAGCCACGGAUAUUUACGGCACGACAUGGAGUAUUUGGUGGAACUAGCUAUGGAAGUGUGUCCCUCCAUGUUGUAGGCAGACCGUGAUAUGGUGAAUUAUUUCUUAUGAGCUCCUCUUUUGCAGGACAUGGAUACUUUUCGGCAUAAAUGUCAUGGGUCCAUGAUGCCUUACGUACCUCUGAACCUAUGACUCUAGAGAUAAUUUAAUAUAUUUCUGGAUUGUUUCGCUCUGGUUACAAAUAUUGUAAGAUCCUCUUUCACUAACACUUUCAAGUUUCAAAUAUUGUCAAAUGGGGUUCACAAUA